rnacentral:rRNA from 1 species
UAUAAGACUGGGAUAACUUCGGGAAACCGGGGCUAAUGCCGGAUAAUAUUUAGAACCGCAUGGUUCUAAAGUGAAAGAUGGUUUUGCUAUCACUUAUAGAUGGACCCGCGCCGUAUUAGCUAGUUGGUGGGGUAAUGGCUUACCAAGGCAACGAUACGUAGCCGACCUGAGAGGGUGAUCGGCCACACUGGAACUGAGACACGGUCCAGACUCCUACGGGAGGCAGCAGUAGGGAAUCUUCCGCAAUGGGCGAAAGCCUGACGGAGCAACGCCGCGUGAGUGAUGAAGGUCUUCGGAUCGUAAAACUCUGUUAUUAGGGAAGAACAAAUGUGUAAGUAACUGUGCACGUCUUGACGGUACCUAAUCAGAAAGCCACGGCUAACUACGUGCCAGCAGCCGCGGUAAUACGUAGGUGGCAAGCGUUAUCCGGAAUUAUUGGGCGUAAAGCGCGCGUAGGCGGUUUCUUAAGUCUGACGUGAAAGCCCACGGCUCAACCGUGGAGGGUCAUUGGAAACUGGGAAACUUGAGUGCAGAAGAGGAAAGUGGAAUUCCAUGUGUAGCGGUGAAAUGCGCAGAGAUAUGGAGGAACACCAGUGGCGAAGGCGACUUUCUGGUCUGUAACUGACGCUGAUGUGCGAAAGCGUGGGGAUCAAACAGGAUUAGAUACCCUGGUAGUCCACGCCGUAAACGAUGAGUGCUAAGUGUUAGGGGGUUUCCGCCCCUUAGUGCUGCAGCUAACGCAUUAAGCACUCCGCCUGGGGAGUACGACCGCAAGGUUGAAACUCAA